rnacentral:rRNA from 1 species
UACGUAGGCAGCGAGCGUUGUUCGGAGUUACUGGGCGUAAAGCGUGCGUAGGCGGUGGUCCAAGUCUGGUGUGAAAUCUCCCGGCUCAACUGGGAGGGUGCGCCGGAAACUGGGCCGCUGGAGUAUGGGAGAGGCAAGCGGAAUUCCAGGUGUAGCGGUGAAAUGCGUAGAUAUCAGGAGGAACACCGGUGGCGAAGGCGGCUUUCUGGACAGUAACUGACGCUGAGGCGCGAAAGCUAGGGCAGCAAACAGG